GAUGAAGAACGUAGCGAAAUGCGAUACGUAAUGUGAAUUGCAGAAUUCAGUGAAUCAUCGAAUCUUUGAACGCACAUUGCGCCCUCUGGUAUUCCGGGGGGCAUGCCUGUUCGAGCGUCAUUAUAACCACUCAAGCUCUCGCUUGGUAUUGGGGUUCGCGGUUUCGCGGCCCCUAAAAUCAGUGGCGGUGCCUGUCGGCUCUACGCGUAGUAAUACUCCUCGCGAUUGAGUCCGGUAGGUCUACUUGCCAGCAACCCCUAAUUUUUUUUAAGGUUGACCUCGGAUCAGGUAGGGAUACCCGCUGAACUUAAGCAUAUCAAUAAGCGGAGGA
rnacentral:misc_RNA from 1 species